rnacentral:rRNA from 1 species
GAUUAACGCUGGCGGCGUGCAUAACACAUGCCAGUCGAACGAUGAAACUUUAAUGAACCCUUCGGGGAGAAUUAAAGCGGAUUAGUGGCGAACGGGUGAGUAACGCGUGAGUAACCUGCCUUACACAAGGGGAUAGCCUUUGGAAACGAAGAAUAAUACCCUAUAAAACCAUAAAAGCACAUGCAAUUAUGGUCAAAGUGAUAGCGGUGUAAGAUGGACUUGCGUCUGAUUAGCUAGUUGGUGAGAUAAAAGCCCACCAAGGCAACGAUCAGUAGCCGGCUUGAGAGAGUGUACGGCCACAUUGGGACUGAGACACGGCCCAGACUCCUACGGGAGGCAGCAGUGGGGAAUUUUGCACAAUGGGGGAAACCCUGAUGCAGCGACGCCGCGUGAUUUAGAAGGCCUUCGGGUUGUAAAAAUCUUUUGUAUAGGAAGAAAAUGACAGUACUAUACGAAUAAGGUCCGGCUAAUUACGUG